GGUCCCGUAGCAAAGUGGCUAUGCAGAGCUCUGCAAAAGCUUUUACGGCGGUUCGAGUCCGUCCGGGACCU
rnacentral:tRNA from 2 species